AGUGAACGCUGGCGGCGUGCCUAAUACAUGCAAGUCGAACGGAGUGGCGCACGGGUGAGUAAUGUAUAUCUAAUCUGUCCUACACUAGAGGACAACAGUUGGAAACGGCUUCUAAUACUCUAUAGUGUAGGUUGAGGCUAUAUUGUAUCAGCUAGUUGUUGAGGUAAUGGCGCACCAAGGCUAUGACGCAUAACUGGUCUGAGAGGAUGUUCAGUGACACUGGAAGUGAGACACGGUCCAGAAGCCUACGGGAGGGAGCAGUAGGGAAUAGUGCUCAAUGGGGGGAACCAAGAAGCAGCAACGCCGCGUGGAGGAUGACACUUUUGGAAGCGUAAACUCCUUUUGUUAGGGAAGCGGUACCUAACGAAUAAGCACCGGCUAACUCCGUGCCAGCAGCCGCGGUAAUAC
rnacentral:rRNA from 1 species